rnacentral:rRNA from 1 species
GAGUUUGAUCUUGGCUCAGGACGAACGCUGGCGGCGUGCCUAAUACAUGCAAGUCGAGCGGACCACAAAGAAGCUUGCUUCUGAGUGGUUAGCGGCGGACGGGUGAGUAACACGUGGGCAACCUGCCCUGCAGACUGGGAUAACUUCGGGAAACCGGAGCUAAUACCGGAUAACACUAAGAACCGCAUGGUUCUUGGUUGAAAGAUGGCUUCAGCUAUCACUGCAGGAUGGGCCCGCGGCGCAUUAGCUAGUUGGUGAGGUAACGGCUCACCAAGGCGACGAUGCGUAGCCGACCUGAGAGGGUGAACGGCCACACUGGGACUGAGACACGGCCCAGACUCCUACGGGAGGCAGCAGUAGGGAAUCUUCCGCAAUGGACGAAAGUCUGACGGAGCGACGCCGCGUGAGCGAAGAAGGUCUUCGGAUCGUAAAGCUCUGUUGUUAGGGAAGAACAAGUACCGUUCGAAUAGGGCGGUACCUUGACGGUACCUAACGAGAAAGCCACGGCUAACUACGUGCCAGCA